ensembl:lncRNA
UCUCUUUCUCCCUCUCUCAUCCCCUCUCCCCUCCCCCCAUCCGGCUCUCUCUGUCUCUUUCUUUCUCCCCGUUUUCGGUCCGCUCCAGAACCACUGCAGUCUGAAGAGGAAAUGCGGUCCAAUUAGCCCCCAAAAGGCUCCCAGGGUUUAAGAGCGGAGGAUCUCCCUGGGUUCCCCGGGCUCUUUCUCAGGAAUGCCAGACGGGGCAGGUGGGGGCACGAGAGGACAUAAUCUGAUUUUAACAAGCUGGCAUUGGUGGCGCGGGUGCCAUGUCACUCAGGGCCAACCGGCCAGAAGCAGCACAAACCCCCCGGCAGGCUGCUGUUCACUGUUCAGUGGGUGAAACCCUUUUGGAGUUAUGUGACCUCAGCUUAUUCAACUCUUCUUUAUAGUUUCUCUUUUUUCCUUUUUUAUCAACUUUACUCCAACUGCUGAAAGCAUCGAUGGGGGGUGGGUUCAGGUUCAGGGCAGAACAACAAUCAGGCCCCCCAGCAGCGUCUCAUGGUUGUUAUGAGAUAUCAACUGUACAAAAAAAAAACCUGCAAUGAGGAACAAACAGUGGACAGAUUCUACUAGACCAUCACUUCCUGUUCCUCUGAGACUCCUAAGGGUCAGCAGGCUCACCCACGACGUGACAACCUCUUGUCCCGACCCUUCUCUUCUCCUCGCGGUUCCCACCAUGUCCUCUCUAGACGUCCGACCCCCACUGAUAUGUGAUGUCCAUCUAGCGGGAGGGAGAGUGUGUGUGUGUGUGUGUUGGGGUGUGUGUGUGUGUG